CCUGGCGGCGAGCGGCGAACGGGUGAGUAACACAUCGGAACGUACCCUGUUGUGGGGGAUAGCCCGGCGAAAGCCGGAUUAAUACCGCAUAAGACCUGAGGGUGAAAGCGGGGGACCGCAACGCCUCGCGCGACAGGAGCGGCCGAUGGCGGAUUAGCUAGUUGGUGGGGUAAAGGCUCACCAAGGCGACGAUCCGUAGCUGGUCUGAGAGGAUGAUCAGCCACACUGGAACUGAGACACGGUCCAGACUCCUACGGGAGGCAGCAGUGGGGAAUUUUGGACAAUGGGGGCAACCCUGAUCCAGCCAUUCCGCGUGAGUGAAGAAGGCCUUCGGGUUGUAAAGCUCUUUCGGCAGGAACGAAACGGUGGGCUCUAACAUAGUCUGCUAAUGACGGUACCUGAAGAAGAAGCACCGGCUAACUACGUGCCAGCAGCCGCGGUAAUACGUAGGGUGCGAGCGUUAAUCGGAAUUACUGGGCGUAAAGCGUGCGCAGGCGGUUUCGUAAGACAGAUGUGAAAUCCCCGGGCUUAAGCUGGGAACUGCGUCUGUUCCUGCGAGACUGGAGUGUGGCAGAGG
rnacentral:rRNA from 1 species